rnacentral:rRNA from 1 species
UGGGGAAUAUUGCACAAUGGGCGCAAGCCUGAUGCAGCAACGCCGCGUGAACGAUGAAGGUCUUCGGAUCGUAAAGUUCUGUUGCAGGGGCAGAUAAUGACGGUACCCUGUGAGGAAGCCCCGGCUAACUACGUGCCAGCAGCCGCGGUAAUACGUAGGGGGCUAGCGUUAUCCGGAUUUACUGGGCGUAAAGGGUGCGUAGGUGGUCUUUCAAGUCGGUGGUUAAAGGCUACGGCUCAACCGUAGUUAGCCUCCGAAACUGGAAGACUUGAGUGCAGGAGAGGAAAGUGGAAUUCCCAGUGUAGCGGUGAAAUGCGUAGAUAUUGGGAGGAACACCAGUAGCGAAGGCGGCUUUCUGGACUGCAACUGACACUGAGGCACGAAAGCGUGGGUAGCAAACAGG